UUCUUUUGGUAACUCAGACGAGUCUCCUAAUUUUUAGGGACUGAUGUCAUUUUUAACGUGUCUCCUAUUUUUAGGGACC
rfam:Populus trichocarpa scaffold_4_contig_159, whole genome shotgun sequence.